AUUGAACGCCGGCGGCAUGCUUUACACAUGCAAGUCGAACGGUAACAGGGUGCUUGCACCGCUGACGAGUGGCGAACGGGUGAGUAAUGCGUCGGAACGUGCCGAGUAGUGGGGGAUAACGCAGCGAAAGUUGUGCUAAUACCGCAUACGUACUGAGGUAGAAAGUGGGGGACCUUCUGGCCUCACGCUAUUCGAGCGGCCGACGUCUGAUUAGCUAGUAGGUGAGGUAAAGGCUCACCUAGGCGACGAUCAGUAGCGGGUCUGAGAGGAUGAUCCGCCACACUGGGACUGAGACACGGCCCAGACUCCUACGGGAGGCAGCAGUGGGGAAUUUUGGACAAUGGGCGGAAGCCUGAUCCAGCCAUGCCGCGUGUCUGAAGAAGGCCUUCGGGUUGUAAAGGACUUUUGUCAGGGAGGAAAUCCCUAGCGUUAAUACCGCUGGGGGAUGACGGUACCUGAAGAAUAAGCACCGGCUAACUACGUGCCAGCCGCCGCCGUAUAC
rnacentral:rRNA from 1 species